GGGUUGUGAGGUUAAGCGACUAAGCGUACACGGUGGAUGCCCUGGCAGUCAGAGGCGAUGAAGGACGUGCUAAUCUGCGAUAAGCGCCGGUAAGGUGAUAUGAACCGUUAUAACCGGCGAUUUCCGAAUGGGGAAACCCAGUGUGACUCGUCACACUAUCAUUAACUGAAUCCAUAGGUUAAUGAGGCGAACCGGGGGAACUGAAACAUCUAAGUACCCCGAGGAAAAGAAAUCAACCGAGAUUCCCCCAGUAGCGGCGAGCGAACGGGGAGGAGCCCAGAGCCUGAAUCAGCAUGUGUGUUAGUGGAAGCGUCUGGAAAGGCGCGCGAUACAGGGUGACAGCCCCGUACACAAAAGCGCAUGUGCUGUGAGCUCGAUGAGUAGGGCGGGACACGUGGUAUCCUGUCUGAAUAUGGGGGGACCAUCCUCCAAGGCUAAAUACUCCUGACUGACCGAUAGUGAACCAGUACCGUGAGGGAAAGGCGAAAAGAACCCCGGCGAGGGGAGUGAAAAAGAACCUGAAACCGUGUACGUACAAGCAGUGGGAGCACCCUUCGGGGUGUGACUGCGUACCUUUUGUAUAAUGGGUCAGCGACUUAUAUUCUGUAGCAAGGUUAACCGUAUAGGGGAGCCGGAGGGAAACCGAGUCUUAAUUGGGCGUUAAGUUGCAGGGUAUAGACCCGAAACCCGGUGAUCUAGCCAUGGGCAGGUUGAAGGUUGGGUAACACUAACUGGAGGACCGAACCGACUAAUGUUGAAAAAUUAGCGGAUGACCUGUGGCUGGGGGUGAAAGGCCAAUCAAACCGGGAGAUAGCUGGUUCUCCCCGAAAGCUAUUUAGGUAGCGCCUCGUGAAUUCAUCUCCGGGGGUAGAGCACUGUUUCGGCUAGGGGGCCAUCCCGGCUUACCAACCCGAUGCAAACUGCGAAUACCGGAGAAUGUUAUCACGGGAGACACACGGCGGGUGCUAACGUCCGUCGUGAAGAGGGAAACAACCCAGACCGCCAGCUAAGGUCCCAAAGUCAUGGUUAAGUGGGAAACGAUGUGGGAAGGCCCAGACAGCCAGGAUGUUGGCUUAGAAGCAGCCAUCAUUUAAAGAAAGCGUAAUAGCUCACUGGUCGAGUCGGCCUGCGCGGAAGAUGUAACGGGGCUAAACCAUGCACCGAAGCUGCGGCAGCGAACGUAUCACCCAAGACAACUUUACGGAGUUGACGAUUGACGGAGCGAAGCGACGUCAAAGCGUUCAUUAAAGUCGAGUUGGCUUAGGGAUACGUUCGUUGGGUAGGGGAGCGUUCUGUAAGCCUGUGAAGGUGUGUCGUGAGGCAUGCUGGAGGUAUCAGAAGUGCGAAUGCUGACAUAAGUAACGAUAAAGCGGGUGAAAAGCCCGCUCGCCGGAAGACCAAGGGUUCCUGUCCAACGUUAAUCGGGGCAGGGUGAGUCGACCCCUAAGGCGAGGCCGAAAGGCGUAGUCGAUGGGAAACGGGUUAAUAUUCCCGUACUUGGUGUUACUGCGAAGGGGGGACGGAGAAGGCUAUGUUGGCCGGGCGACGGUUGUCCCGGUUUAAGCGUGUAGGUGUGUGUUCCAGGUAAAUCCGGUU
rnacentral:rRNA from 1 species